rnacentral:precursor_RNA from 15 species
UGGGGCAGCCAGAUGCCACCUCUCCGUUUCUGAUCACCUCAGUUGUUGCUUUUGUGAGGAUCUCAAGAGAAAGCAAUGAGAGGGUGGGUCUGAAACCCAUACUUACAUCUGCCAGAGCAAGCA